UACGUAGGGGGCAAGCGUUAAUCGGAAUUACUGGGCGUAAAGCGUGCGCAGGCGGUUGUGCAAGACAGAUGUGAAAUCCCCGGGCUCAACCCUGGGAAUUGCAUUUGUGACUGCACGGCUAGAGUGUGGUCAGAGGGGGGUAGAAUUCCACGUGUGAGCAGUGAAAUGCGUAGAGAUGUGGAGGAAUACCGAUGGCGAAGGCAGCCCCCUGGGAUAACACGUGACGCCUGCAU
rnacentral:rRNA from 1 species